rnacentral:rRNA from 1 species
CCGCCAGCCCUACCAUGCCAGUCGAACGGUAACAGGAUAGCUUGCUAUCGCUGACGAGUGGCGGACGGGUGAGUAAUACUUAGGGAUCUGCCUCUGUGUGGGGGAUAACUAUUGGAAACGAUAGCUAAUACCGCAUAAUGUCUACGGACCAAAGCGGGCUUCGGCUCGUGCGCAGAGAGGAACCUAAGCGAGAUUAGCUAGUUGGUGAGGUAAAGGCUCACCAAGGCGACGAUCUCUAGCUGUUCUGAGAGGAAGAUCAGCCACACUGGAACUGAGACACGGUCCAGACUCCUACGGGAGGCAGCAGUGGGGAAUAUUGCACAAUGGGGGAAACCCUGAUGCAGCCAUGCCGCGUGUGUGAAGAAGGCCUUCGGGUUGUAAAGCACUUUCAGUUGUGAGGAAAGUUUAGUAGUUAAUACCUGCUAGAUGUGACGUUAGCAACAGAAGAAGCACCGGCUAACUCCGUGCCAGCAGCCGCGGUAAUACGGAGGGUGCGAGCGUUAAUCGGAAUUACUGGGCGUAAAGCGCACGCAGGCGGUCUGUUAAGCUAGAUGUGAAAGCCCCGCGCUCAACGUGGGAGGGUCAUUUAGAACUGGCAGACUAGAGUCUUGGAGAGGGGAGUGGAAUUCCAGGUGUAGCGGUGAAAUGCGUAGAGAUCUGGAGGAACAUCAAUGGCGAAGGCAACUCCCUGGCCAAAGACUAACGCUCAUGUGCGAAAGUGUGGGUAGCGAACAGGAUUAGAUACCCUGGUAGUCCACACCGUAAACGCUGUCUACUAGCUGUUUGUGAAUUU